UACGGAGGGCGCAAGCGUUGUUCGGAAUUACUGGGCGUAAAGCGCGUGUAGGCGGCUUGGUAAGUCGGAUGUGAAAGCCCGGGGCCUAACCCCGGAACUGCAUCCGAUACUGCCUCGCUAGAGUCUCGGAGAGGAUGGCGGAAUUUCCGGUGUAGAGGUGAAAUUCGUAGAUAUCGGAAGGAACACCAGUGGCGAAGGCGGCCAUCUGGACGAUGACUGACGCUGAGACGCGAAAGCGUGGGGAGCAAACAGG
rnacentral:rRNA from 1 species